CUGGCUCAGGAUGAACGCUGGCGGACGUGUUAACACAUGCAAGUCGAGCGAGAAGUUCUCAGUAGAUCUCGGAUGAUACAGAGUACGGAAAGCGGCGGACGGGUGAGUAACGCGUAGGCAACCUGCCCUCUGCAGAGGGAUAGCCUCGGGAAACCGGGAUUAAAACCUCAUAAUGCGCGACCGGGACAUCCCGGAUGCGCCAAAGAUUUAUCGGCAGAGGAUGGGCCUGCGUCUGAUUAGUUAGUUGGUGGGGUAACGGCCUACCAAGGCGACGAUCAGUAGCCGACCUGAGAGGGUGAUCGGCCACAUUGGAACUGAGACACGGUCCAAACUCCUACGGGAGGCAGCAGUGGAGAAUCUUGCACAAUGGGCGAAAGCCUGAAUGCAGCAACGCCGCGUGAAGGAUGAAGGCCCUUGGGUCGUAAACUUCUGUUCUAAGGGAAGAUAAUGACGGUACCUUAGGAGCAAGUCCCGGCUAACUACGUGCCAGCAGCGGC
rnacentral:rRNA from 1 species